CAGUCGCCGCGGUAAUACGUAGGUGGCAAGCGUUGUCCGGAAUUAUUGGGCGUAAAGCGCGCGCAGGCGGAUCAGUUAGUCUGUCUUAAAAGUUCGGGGCUUAACCCCGUGUGGGGAUGGAAACUGCUGAUCUAGAGUAUCGGAGAGGAAAGUGGAAUUCCUAGUGUAGCGGUGAAAUGCGUAGAUAUUAGGAAGAACACCAGUGGCGAAGGCGACUUUCUGGACGAAAACUGACGCUGAGGCGCGAAAGCCAGGGGAGCGAACGGGAUUAGAUACCCCUGUAGUCCCUGUCUCUUAUACA
rnacentral:rRNA from 1 species